GAUUUUUGCUUCCCUCGCCCUCGCCCUCGCCCUCGCCCUCGCCCCUCUCUCUCUCUCUACUGUUGGUCAAUCCAAACUCGUCUCACAAAAAACGAAAUAUCUUCAACUCAGCCAGCUGCGCUCCGUCGGCAAUUUCACCACCGCCGUUUCAUAAUCCCUGAUUUCCACUCAGAUACAUGCAUUAAUCGAUUACCGAAUCCAUUCUCCAUGGACAUACUGAAAACCGCGCGCUGCAUUUCAACUCCUUUUCGCCCUCCGCCGCUGAUUCCCCACUCUCGCCUCGCAAAUCCACUUCCUCGGCCUCGGAAUUUCAGGAAAUGUAGAAAUAUGUGCGCAGCUUCGAAUUCCGACACAAUUCUCAAAUGGGCCGAUAAUACGAGCAAAAAGGAAGAUGGUUACGGCGAUUUGAAAAGUUGGAUGGAUAAGAACGGGCUUCCGCCGUGCAAAGUUAUGCUCAAUGAAAGGCCUUCUCACGAUUCUAACUAUCACUCCAUUCAUUAUGUAGCUUCCAGUGAAGAUCUCCAGGAAGGUGACGUAGCAUUUUGUGUACCUAAUUCAUUGGUGGUGACGCUUGAGAGAGUUUUGGGAAAUGAAACUGUCGCUGAACUUCUUACCACGAACAAAUUAUCGGAGCUAGCCUGCUUGGCACUAUAUCUAAUGUAUGAGAAGAAGCAAGGUAAAAAGUCUUUCUGGUAUCCUUACAUUAAAGAACUUGAUCGCCAAAGAGGUCGAGGGCAGCUAGCUGUUGAGUCACCACUUUUAUGGUCAGAGGCUGAAUUGCAGUACCUAACAGGAAGUCCAACAAUGGCUGAAAUUUUGGGGAGGGCCGAAGGAAUAAAGAGAGAAUACAAUGAGCUUGACACUGUCUGGUUCAUGGCUGGCUCAUUAUUCCAGCAAUAUCCGUUUGAUAUCCCAACAGAAGCUUUCCCUUUUGAGAUUUUCAAGCAAGCUUUUGUUGCCAUUCAAUCAUGUGUGGUUCAUUUGCAGAGAGUCAGUUUGGCGAGGCGAUUUGCCUUGGUUCCCUUAGGACCUCCGCUUUUGUCAUAUAAAAGCAACUGCAAAGCAAUGUUGACUGCUGUUGAUGGGGCUGUGCAACUUAUUGUCGAUCGUCCCUAUAAAGCUGGGGAACCUAUUGUUGUCUGGUGUGGGCCGCAGCCCAAUUCAAAAUUACUAAUUAACUAUGGUUUUGUAGACGAUGACAAUACUUAUGAUCGCCUGGUGGUGGAGGCUUCUCUGAAUACUGAGGAUCCUCAGUAUCAGGAUAAGAGAUUGGCUGCACAAAGAAAUGGGAAGUUAUCAGUUCAAAGUUUUCAGGUCUCGGUUGGGAAAGAAAGAGAGGCUGUGCUGGACAUGCUUCCUUAUCUGCGAUUGGGAUAUGUUUAUGAUCGGUCAGAGAUGGAAUCUGUUUUAUCUUCCCAAGGUCCAAUAUGUCCGGUAAGUGCUUGUAUGGAACGUGCUGUUCUGGAUCAACUUGCUGGAUAUUUUAUAAAACGACUUGAUGGCUAUCCUACUACAUUAAGUGAAGAUGAGAUCUUGCUUGCAGAUAGUAACUUGAAUCCAAAACGGCGAGUAGCAACUCAACUUGUAAGGUUGGAGAAGAAAAUGCUUAUAGCUUGCCUACAGGCAACAGUAGACCUAAUGGAACAUUUACCUGAUGACUCUGUAUCCCCAUGUCCUGCUCCUUAUGCCCCAACCCUCAAAUGAGUCUGAGUCUCCAGUUGUUCAUUUUGCUGCUCGCGUCAACUAGUGAUAUUGUUUUGAAUUUGCCUAUAUUGAGGAGGAGUGAGAUCAACGAGCAAGUCAUUGGCAUUAUUGAUUGAAUGCGUGUGAGUGAAAUGGGAAUUAAGGCACAAAAUGCAUCACAUUAUAAGUGGAAUCUCGUCGCUAACGUUAGUAAUUAGUAGUGUUUUGUAAUGCUUUUUUUUUUGUUACUAGUAUAAUACUAAAAAACAGAUCAAAAUUUCAUCAGUUAGUAGUACAAAUGAGGUUGAUGUUUGGAAUGCAUGAGAAAUAUACUGAUCUAUUAUCAUAUGUGAGAAACUCAACUUAGUUCUCAACAUUUGAGAAUAUGAGUUUGUUUGGUUGUGGAUUC